GAUGAACGCUGGCGGCGUGCCUAAUACAUGCAAGUCGAGCGAACGGACGAGAAGCUUGCUUCUCUGAUGUUAGCGGCGGACGGGUGAGUAACACGUGGAUAACCUACCUAUAAGACUGGGAUAACUUCGGGAAACCGUAGCUAAUACCGGAUAAUAUUUUGAACCGCAUGGUUCAAAAGUGAAAGACGUUCUUGCUGUCACUUAUAGAUGGAUCCGCGCUGCAUUAGCUAGUUGGUAAGGUAACGGCUUACCAAGGCAACGAUGCAUAGCCGACCUGAGAGGGUGAUAGGCCACACUGGAACUGAGACACGGUCCAGACUCCUACGGGAGGCAGCAGUAGGGAAUCUUCCGCAAUGGGCGAAAGCCUGACGGAGCAACGCCGCGUGAGUGAUGAAGGUCUUCGGAUCGUAAAACUCUGUUAUUAGGGAAGAACAUAUGUGUAAGUAACUGUGCACAUCUUGACGGUACCUAAUCAGAAAGCCACGGCUAACUACGUG
rnacentral:rRNA from 1 species